GGGGUAUUAGCUCAGUUGGCUAGAGCGUUAGACUGGCAGUCUAAAGGUCAGGGGUUCGACUCCCCUAUACUCCACCA
rnacentral:tRNA from 1 species